CCUACGGGUGGCAGCAGUGAGGAAUAUUGGUCAAUGGGCGCGAGCCUGAACCAGCCAAGUAGCGUGAGGGAUGACUGUCCUACGGGUUGUAAACCUCUUUUAUAAAGGAAUAAAGUGAGGCACGUGUGCUUUUUUGUAUGUACUUUAUGAAUAAGGAUCGGCUAACUCCGUGCCAGCAGCCGCGGUAAUACGGAGGAACCGAGCGUUAUCCGGAUUUAUUGGGGUUAAAGGGGGCGUAGUUGGGUUUUUAAGUCAGUGGUGAAAGUUUGCGGGUCAACCGUAAAAUUGCAAGUGGUACUGGCGGCCUUGAGUACAGUUGAGGUAGGCGGAAUUCGUGGUGUAGCGGUGAAAUGCUUAGAUAUCACGAAGAACUCCGAUUGCGAAGGCAGCCUACUAAGC
rnacentral:rRNA from 1 species